rnacentral:rRNA from 1 species
CACGUAGGGCGCAAGCGUUGUCCGGAAUUAUUGGGCGUAAAGAGCUCGUAGGCGGUCUGUCGCGUCGGCUGUGAAAACCCGGGGCUCAACCCCGGGCCUGCAGUCGAUACGGGCAGACUAGAGUGCGGAAGGGGCAAUCGGAAUUCUUGGUGUAGCGGUGAAAUGCGUAGAUAUCAAGAGGAACACCUGAGGUGAAGACGGGUUGCUGGGCCGACACUGACGCUGAGUGCGCGAAAGCCAGGGGAGCAAACGGGG